rnacentral:misc_RNA from 1 species
GCCAAUUGUUCGCUUCACGUCGGCCAGUCGACGACCAACUACGGCGUCAGUGAGCAACAAGAAAAUUGUCAGCGGCAAGUGAAAGAAAAACACGACUAUUCUGCGGGGGCAGAAAUAAAGUUGAUAGCCAGAAAUGAAUAGGACAGAGAGGCAAGUUCGACGUCUCUUUUCGUAGUAUCUUGCGUUCAUUGGUCCGUCUUGGCUCAUUGUCGACAAAGAAGAAAAAGAAACGACAAAUCAAGAGGAAGGAACAACAAGAGGAGGCAGAAAAGAAAUACAAAGGCCAACCCCGUUUUUCUUCUGACCAUCUUAUUGCGGCUCAUUACUGCACGCAGGAUGUCCCUGGC